ACCAAGGAGCCCCAGUGGAAUGGUACAGGGAGAUUGGAGAAGGAGGGUAAGAGGAUAAGGAUUUGUUCAUACAUAAAUUUGUUCACCUUUUAUUCCCAAACCUUUUCCCCUUUGCUUCUCUCAGACUAGACAUCCGGUCCAAGAGCCAGCUACAAGAUAAUGGUCAUAGAGAAGGAGAGAAAAGGAGCAGGUAUAAGAUUAUGAAUGACGAUUUAGCUCAUGACCAACCCCAGGAAGAAGUCAUUCAGUACCAACCAAACUGUUCUCAGAAGCAAUGUGAAGAAUUCAGUGGGGUAUAUUUUAUCCCCAUUCAUUCAAGUUUCUCCAUCACCCUGCAACAUACACAGCACCAGCACAUCCUGGUCCCCUGGUAG
rnacentral:lncRNA from 1 species